GGACCGGUAGUUCUGGUUAGAAUGCCGCCCUGUCACGGCGGAGGUCGGGUUCGAGUCCUGUCCGGUCGCA
rnacentral:tRNA from 1 species